rnacentral:rRNA from 1 species
UACGUAGGGUGCGAGCGUUGUCCGGAAUUAUUGGGCGUAAAGAGCUCGUAGGCGGCGUGUCACGUCGAUCGUGAAAACUUACAGCUUAACUGUGAGCGUGCGGUCGAUACGGGCAUCACUGGAGUUCGGCAGGGGAGACUGGAAUUCCUGGUGUAGCGGUGAAAUGCGCAGAUAUCAGGAGGAACACCGGUGGCGAAGGCGGGUCUCUGGGCCGAUACUGACGCUGAGGAGCGAAAGCGUGGGGAGCGAACAGG